AGAAAUCAAGUAGAAGGAAAGAUUGGUGGCCCAGGGAAGGUAGUCCAGAUUGAUGUAUCAAAAUUUGGGAAACGAAAAUUCAAUCGAGGACGACACAUUGAGGGCCAUUGGGUUAUUGGUAUGACGGAAGGCAAAGAAGUUCUGAGAUUAGAAGUGUCCCAAGACAAUAUUGAGUCAGCUGAAGUAUUAGUGCCACUUAUACAAAAACAUGUAGAAGUUGGCACUACUAUCCAUACCAACUUCUGGAAAGUGUAUGAUUGUUUAUCACAGCAUGGGUACAUACACAAAAAAGUAAUUGAGUCAGAUCCUGAUAACCCUGUUGUGGCUGCAGAUGGAAGUUAUUUUUACGAAUACUUGUGGCGGCGGUACAAUGUUAAACACAGAAAAGACCCCUUUAUGGAGCUAAUUAAAGUUAUAAAAUAUGCUUAUAAAUAAAACACUUCCAAACUUAGCCGCGAAUAUCUGCGCUGAUGACCUGCUGAGUUGCUGCUUAUUUUAGUAUGCUGCUUUUGUUUUUGUUUUGAUUUCAUUAGUUGCUGCUGCUUUAUCUGCUAAUUUGCUUUUAUUUGCUAUGGCCAGUUAAAUUUAAAUUUACCAUUGCUGUCCUUAUAGUGUGAUUGUAAUUAUUUAAGCUUUGUAGAUUAUUAUUAAUUUAUUUAUUUAGUUUUUUUUUUUGGAGAAUUACUUAAAAUCUAAAUUGUUUUAAGCUUGCAAAUUAUUUUGCUUAAGUUUAUGAAGGGCUUCUUUGCAGAGCUGCAUGCUAACUCGUGCCAGGCAGCGGCCACCACAACCUGGCUCUACACAUACUAUGGAUUGGGCCCUGGUGGUUUUAGUGGGUAUGGGGUCAUCGCAUUUUACGACCUUGACCCCCACACUCCCCGCGCCAUUCACACUUGCCCAGGCGCGGGGGCCCGUAAUCGGGUUUCCCCAGGUA